CAGGUCUACAAAGUUAUUCAUAUACUACACUCAAUCCACAGCAAAUCUCCCACUGAAAAUAACAGAUUUACGUGGCCAAGAGGAGAUCCAUAUGUCAGUGCCACUAACACCAAGGAAGAUUCCAGAACCUUGACAGUAUUGAAGUAGAGUUGGAGGCAACCCUUGGGACUCAAAGGGUUAACUCCUGCUCAGAGUUCUCCACCCAGGCAACUAGGAAGAAAGGCAAUGAUCUAAAGCAGAGCCUGCUUAACUAAGCAUGGAGAAGCUAAAAAGUCAGAACAGGCUGACUCUAACUCAUUGAACCAUUGAAGAAGGAUGCCUUGAGGUGAAGAGUUCUCAGAUUGGGAUGCAGCAGUCAACCAGUGUCCUGCAAGAGGAGUGGAGGAAUGAUUGGAGGAUUUAUUUCUGGACAGAGAGCUAGGUGAAGCAGGUAAGGAAACCAUGCUGCCUUGACAACGUCAGGCCACUAGGAUAAUUCUGGCUUUGUCCUGUCUGAUCAUCUUCACCACGUGAGAAUCAGAGGUAUUGGGGGAAACGAAUAAAACACCUUCCUGUCCAUGGGAGGAAGAAGGUACUCCACCAAUGAAUUGCAGUAAACCGUCCCUUGAGCAGAAGAGGUGGCAUUUUUUGUUUAAGGCUGUGAAGAAGAGGUCCAACUUGUGGGAACCCCCAAGUUUGAAAUAUGUCAGUAAGUAUCUGAGAGGCCAACUCCCAAUCCUAGUCUUGGGGAAAAGAUCUGCGGAGAGCAUCAGCAGUGAUAUUUUGCCUGCCAGGAAGAUUCACUGCAGAAUUCUUAUGCAAUCCCAUAUACAGCAGUUCCAUAACUUUAUUGCUUUGGUACAGAGUGAAGGGGACCCCUUCCCACCUCCACCAGUUGAUGUAAAAUAUGCAGGCCAUAUUGUAUGUCAUGACUCUGAUAGACUUGUCUUUGAUGAGAAGCAGAAAAUGAAGGCAGGCAUUUCUGACCACCCUUUGCUCCAACAGGGUGAUGUGGAGGGUGGUUAAUUGGGGUGAUCAUCUGCCCUGUACAGUAUAAAUGGCAAGGUCUGCCCUCCCUCUCCCUCCAUCCUAACAGACUGCAGUUACCGUUGGCACCAGUCAGAGGAAGGGAACUUCCAUACCUACACUGUGAUGAUUUCUCCACCAGUUUGGGGAGUGUUUUCUCCACUGUUGGGGGAACUGAUACCUGUUGGUAUAAGCUGUGUCUGCUUGGUGAGUAAAUUGUUCUGAGCCAUCCCUGGAGACAGCGAAGGCAUAAUCGGAUAUGAUCUGUCACAAAAGUGCAAGAACAUCAUGGGACUCCAAAGUUGAAGACAGUUGUUGACUGAGGUUUGAGGGCUCAUCUGAACAGACCUGCCAAGGUUUGAUAGCCCUCAGCAUCUAUCCAUGGGAAGAAAUUCACUGGCUACCAGGGAAUCCAAAGAUGUCCCUAUAAACUGUAUAUUUUGUACUGGAGUCAGGGUGAAUAGUCCCACAUUCAAUUGCAGGCCCAAGUCCAGGAAAAGGCAAGUGUCCUCUGCAUAGCAGAGAGCACCUCCACGUAAGACCAACUGUUGGGAUAUGAAAACAGUACCAUUGCCUGUCAAUGCAAGUAGGUGGCCAUUACCCUAUAACCUUUGAGAACACCCUCUGAGCCAAGGAAAGGCCAAACACAGGAGCACUCGGUAUUGCAAGUGGUCCUGACCUAUAACAAAAUGCACAUAUCUUUUGUGAGAUGGGUGACUUGCUAUGUGGAAGUCUUUGUCAUUGGCACAAGGAAAUAUUGUGUGUAGAAACCUCUUCUCUUUCUGCUGAGCAGGAACAGGUUCUGUCACUCAGGUAGAAAGAAGGGAAUUUAUUUUCUGUCUUAAUAAGAGCUCAUGACAGGGAUUGCUGAAGAGGGAUGGAGAAGAGAGGUAAAGUGAAUGGUGUAGACCAUUAUUACUUCUAGUACUAAUUUGAGGCGAUAUGUUCCCAAGCUGGUUGAAAAUGGAAGAGAGGUCUCCAAAUGGGCGGGGAGGUGGGCAAAUGAUUGUAGCUGACAGUCCAGAGAAAGGGGAGGGUUUAAACGCUUGACUAUCCCGUAAAAACUGAUCAUUAGAAGAAGCAGCAGCCUGCUGUGAACUAGUGUCAGAUGCAUAGGCGCCGACUCUGUGGGUGCUCUGGAGCACCCAUGGGGAAAAAUUAGUGGGUGCUCUGCACCCAUCAGCAGCCAAGCUCCCCGCGCUGCCUCCCCACCCCACCCCACCUCACUUCCUCCUCUGUCUCCUCCCCUAAGCGUGCCGUGUCCCAGCUCCUCCACCUACCUCCCAGUAGUUGCUGCCACCAA